CUGCGUAUUCUUAUAGUUCAGACUAACGCGGCUACCCACUUUUUCAUGAUGUUACUGUGGUUUCUGUUAAUGCAUUACUUUCCAAGAAUGAGCUUGCCUUCAAUUCAUUAUUACUCUAUUUUGCUAGCAGACGACGCACGUCUCGCGGGAAGUUUGAUUUUCCUUUUUUAAUACGACUGCCGGCCCGUACCACACGAUGUACUUCGACAGUGUUUACUCCAAAUGGAUAUUUUAUGCACAGUACAAAUGUAUUAACUAAAUUCAAUAAAAUAUGUAAAGAAAUCUAUAAUUUUUGAAUACUCAAUAAUUUAUUUGAAAAACGACAUUUUAUUCAUAAUUUCUUGGUGAAUAAUUGUAAUAAAUAAAUGAACAGCGCCACAAAUUUGAAGAAGAAGUACCAAUAGAAAAUUCACCGUAAGUUCUCUCUGUUUUUGUUCACACAGUUAAUCAAACAGAAACAUGUAAAUAUAAUAAGAAUAUUAAAUCAUCGUUUGUCUAUUAUACCUAGGUUUUGUUAAAGAUUCCCGAUGGUUAAUUAUUAAUUAAAGUUUGAUUGAAUGUGUGCUAUCGAUUGUACAUUCGCUGUAUGUUUACCGAAUUGUUUACUGUGUAACAUAGGGCCUAGCCCUGUCAAGAGGUUAGCCUAGCCCACAAUAGUAUAGGCCUAUAAAUGAUUCCUGUAGAAUUUAUUGGUUCACUUAAUGUUUUGGUUUAGUUUUAUGAAUUUUAAAAUAAAACAAGAAUAACUGGAAUAACAAUACUACAGUAUAUUUAUUUAUAUAUUUUUUAUUUAUAAUGUAUGUAAUGUAUGUUUUUAUAAUGUAAUGUGUAACCACUUCUAUUGCAAAUUUUGCUUUAUUAAUUUGAGUAAAGCAAUUGGAAAAGAGAGCAUUGAAUGUCUUGUUUGCUGUGAUGAAAUCAACAAUGAAACAACUCAUGAAGUAUCACCCCUAGUGAAAAAUGCAUUGAAAACUGCUCUUUUAAAAUGCAAGGAAUGUGCCACUGAAUUGGUGACCAUGACAUGACGGAUUUUGAGGCAGCAAAUACAGAGGCAUCUGAAGAACGAACAUCUAGCAUAGAUAAACCUGUUGAAAGCAGAAAUAGAACGGUUGCGUGAUGACCUUUCAUUGUCCAUUCUUAAGCAUGAACAUAGUGAAGCACUUACAAAUCAGGUGGUUGAGAUUUGCAGAGAAAUUGCCUUAAAAGAAGAAAAGUAUCACCACAAAAAAUAAUAAACUGCAUUUGGUGGAGCUUUCUACUUCAAUUGCAAAUGUUGGUAUUGUAAAUGUUAGUAGAAUUAAUAAAUGAAAUGAAUUGAAUUACUAAAUAGGAAAAUCAGGUAAAUAAGGAUCUCACAUUUGCAAGUGGCCCACUGGCAAGCAAGAUGGAUGAAAUAUUUGACAGAGAACAAGAUGCCACACAACAAUAUCACAGGAAAAGCUUUGUUGGCGACCACGUACAUUGAGAGGUUGUAAAGUUUGACUAAUAGAUGGAAUGAGCUCAGUAUUACAAACAGUAGAGGAAUGUCCCAUUGGCGCGGCAAAAAUAAUAAACACAGCUUUCAAAGGAUAGAAGCAGAAGCAUGUGUUCCAGUAUUUAAAUCUUUUGCUAAUGUCCAUUUAUCCAUCAAUCACACAAGACCUGUGGAUGAAGAUGAAAUAAAAGAAUAUGAGUUGGCAAUCAAAGAAUUUUCUAUCGCAUUUCGAAAAGUGUGCACUGAACGUGAUGCAGCCAAAAUUGCACAUAUUGGAACACCAUGUUGUUGAAUUCAUGAAGCAGUGAACGUUGGUCUUCGAAUGCUUUCCAAGCAGGGUGGUGAACUUAUCCAUGCAGAAUUCAAUCGCCAGAAUAGAACAGUUUAUGGCAUCAAGAACCCACUUGACCAACUGAUGUCCAUUAUGAAAUCCCACAUAUUUACUUCGCCAGAAAUUCAACACGAAAUAACGAUGAAGGCAAAGAGGAGGAAAUCUAAAGAAUUAGUUAAUGACAUUCGAUCAACAAUAUACAAUUAAUAAUAACCAGAAAUGAACAUUUUUCUUGUGAUAUUUUUUUAAAUGCUUAUUUAAAGUCUUGUCUAGAAGUCAUGUUUUCACAUUUCCUCUCUUUAGAAUGUAAAUAUAGAUUGUCUUGUGUUUUGAAGUAAAUAAAUUAGAUUCAACCUUACAUGAUAUCCUAAGUUAAAUAGUGAGUAUAAUAAUAAUAAUAAUAAUAAUAAUAAUAACAAUAACAGUAAUAAUAAUUCAGGACAAAGCUGAUCAUACUGAUCUGAUUUAAGUUUGCUUUUUUUGUGGGUGGGGAAUUAUUGAGGGGUGGUGGUUGUUGUUACGGUUUCUAUUUCAUGUAAUUUGUAAUAUUGUUGGCAUGGCAUGUAUUUUUGUUAACUGUAUUGGGUUAACAUUUUGCUGUUCUGCUUUAUAAAUAUAACAUAGGCCUAUUAAUUACUAUUUUAUUUCAAACUAAGCCAGGCAAGCAGUAGCAAGCUAUAAUUAUAAGUAUAGGCCUAGUACAGCAGUAGGCCCUAUUGUUGUAUUGUAGUGUAGGCCUAUGCCCAGGCUAGGCCUUAUGUAUAAUUUAGGGAAGAAUGUCUUGAAUUGCAUUGAACUCGUGUAUCAGGGAGGUAUAAAAUUGCUAAUGCUUGUAGUAGUCUUUUAUCUAACAUACAUACUUGAGUUUACUACUGUGUAUGCGUAGCACUGAGCCUACUGUAGGCCUAUAUUGUGUACACAGUGAAACGCAUGCCUCUACUGUUAAGAUACACGUUUAAAUCGAAACAUCGGCAUCAAUAAAAAAAAAAUUCAACUGGGAA